CCAUCAGAAGUCGACUGUGUGAGCUAGCACUCCCGUAGAGGGCUGAUCAUUUUGAGGACUUCGUGUGGACCAUUCAUAGAGGUCGGAUACUUAUGCGGCUGUGAAUGAUCAGAGAAGACUUUCAUAUCUAUGUUCUCGAUCAUAAAGUUUGAUUAUCCAUGCUCAGAUAUUAGGUUCGAAAUCUUAGAAGUAGUAGAUUAGAUCUAUUAUUAAAUAUUAUUUUUGGUUUACAUGCUUGUCCUUUUAGAUUCAAAUUUUUAUACAUAUAAAUUCAUGUUAUAGAUCCAUUUGUUGAAG
rnacentral:lncRNA from 1 species